rnacentral:rRNA from 1 species
UACGUAGGCGGCAAGCGUUGUCCGGAUUUAUUGGGCGUAAAGCGCGCGCAGGCGGUUUUUUAAGUCUGGGGUUUAAGUUCGGGGCUCAACCCCGUAUCGCCCUGGAAACUGGGAGACUGGAGUGCAGGAGAGGAAAGUGGAAUUCCACGUGUAGCGGUGAAAUGCGUAGAUAUGUGGAGGAACACCAGUGGCGAAGGCGACUUUCUGGCCUGUAACUGACGCUGAGGCGCGAAAGCGUGGGGAGCAAACAGG